rnacentral:rRNA from 1 species
AACGAACGCUGGCGGCAGGCCUAACACAUGCAAGUCGAACGCCUCGCAAGAUGAGUGGCGCACGGGUGAGUAACACGUGGGAAUGUAUCCUUUGGUUCGGAAUAACGUUUGGAAACGGACGGUAAUACCGGAUGAGCCCUUAGGGGGAAAGAUUUAUCGCCGAAGGAGCAGCCCGCGUAUGAUUAGGUAGAUGGUGGGGUCAAGUCCUACCAAGCCGACGAUCAGUAGCUGGUCUGAGAGGAUGAUCAGGCACACUGGGAUUGAGACACGGCCCAGACUCCUACGGGAGGCAGCAGUGGGGAACAUUGGACAAUGGGCGCAAGCCUGAUCCAGCCAUGCCGCGUGAGUGAUGAAGGCCUUCGGGUUGUAAAGCUCUUUCGCACACGACGAUGAUGACGGUAGUGUGAGAAGAAGCCCCGGCUAACUUCGUGCCAGCAGCCGCGGUAAUAC